GACGAACGCUGGCGGCGUGCCUAAUACAUGCAAGUAGAACGCUGAAGGAGGAGCUUGCUCUUCUUGGAUGAGUUGCGAACGGGUGAGUAACGCGUAGGUAACCUGCCUGGUAGCGGGGGAUAACUAUUGGAAACGAUAGCUAAUACCGCAUAAUAGUAGAUGUUGCAUGACAUUUGCUUAAAAGGUGCAAUUGCAUCACUACCAGAUGGACCUGCGUUGUAUUAGCUAGUUGGUGAGGUAACGGCUCACCAAGGCAACGAUACAUAGCCGACCUGAGAGGGUGAUCUGCCACACUGGGACUGAGACACGGCCCAGACUCCUACGGGAGGCAGCAGUAGGGAAUCUUCGGCAAUGGACGGAAGUCUGACCGAGCAACGCCGCGUGAGGGAAGGAGGUUUUCGGAUCGUAAAGCUCUGUUGUAAGAGAAGAACGAGUGUGAGAGUGGAAAGUUCACACUGUGACGGUAUCUUACCAGAAAGGGUCGGCUAACUACGUG
rnacentral:rRNA from 1 species